CUUAUCAUCUGUAUUCAUUCCGAGUACCUUUCCCGUUGCUUCCGUGGGGUAUGGCGAUUUGCGCACGUCGCAUUUCCCUUCCUGGGAUGUUUGCAAAAAUUUCCCAGGAGAGACCCUGUGGGAGGGAAGCACUGAACCUCCUUUGCAUACCGAUAGCGUUCAGUCUGAGCUUGUUUUUGAAGAAACAUUAAAACUUUCAGCAACGGAUCUCUUGGUUCUCGCAUCGAUGAAGAACGCAGCGAAAUGCGAAAAGUAGUGUGAAUUGCAGAAUUCAGUGAAUCAUCGAAUCUUUGGACGCACAUUGCGCCUUGCAGUAUUCUGCGAGGCAUGCCUGUCCAAGCGUCAUGGGAAAAGCGUUCAAGCCCCUGGCUUGGUCAUGGAGGAUGAGUACACCUUCCAAGGGUUUUCACCUCUGAAAUUGAAUGGCGGAUUACCGUGAGCUGCCUUGAGCGUCGUAUGUGCCUGACACUCUCGCCUUGGUGGCCGGUGAAGUCCUGCCCACCAACCCCCACAACAUCUUGGGUUGACUUUGGAUCAGGUAGGGAUACCCGCUGAACUUAAGCAUAUCAAUAAGCGGAGGAAAAGAAACCAACAGGGAUUGCCUUAGUAACUGCGAGUGAAGCGGCAAAAGCUCAAAUUUGAAAUCUGGCGUUUUGGAACGUCCGACUUGUAAUUUGGAGAGGCAUCUUUGGAGAUGGCGUUGUCCCAAGUUCUUUGGAACAGGACGUCGUAGAGGGUGAGAAUCCCGUAUGUGGACUGCUAUCCAUCUCCAUUUCUGGAUGCGAUCGACGAGUCGAGUUGUUUGGGAAUGCAGCUCAAAAUGGGUGGU
rnacentral:rRNA from 1 species